AUAGUGGCGCACGGGUGAGUAACGCGUGGGAAUAUGCCCUGGAGUACGGAAUAACUAAGGGAAACUUUAGCUAAUACCGUAUACGCCCCAAGGGGGAAAGAUUUAUCGCUCCAGGAUUAGCCCGCGUCUGAUUAGCUUGUUGGUAAGGUAAUGGCUUACCAAGGCGACAAUCAAUAGCUGGUUUGAGAGGAUGAUCAGCCACACUGGGACUGAGACACGGCCCAGACUCC
rnacentral:rRNA from 1 species